UACAACGUACAUCCUAAUAGCCAUUCCCAUUGGCCCAGGUGUUUGUCUUUGUUUGAAGCAAUUGGCCGCUCGGCUCUGUGCACCGUUGACCUAUACAACAACUUACAGCAGUCCGAAAAUCAGCGUCCACUAAAUUGCAGUCAGGUGGUGUUUGGUCCUCUUUUGAAAGUGGAGUGGGGUUUCCAGCCCUUUGGAAGCCACCUAAACAAGAUGGCUAUGAAAAUGAGAGAAUGGCGAAAACACCUAAGAGACAUGGAUGAACUUCUACAUUAUGACAGCAAAGAUGGACAUCAGAGCAUUGACAUUAAAGGAGAACUUCGGUCGAUUUAAACAUGCAGCUUCAUUGCUCAAGCUACCCUUGACUUGCCAGUACCGAAGACGCGAACAAAUUUGAU
rnacentral:lncRNA from 1 species